GGGGCCGUAGUCUAGCCUGGUAGGACGCACGGCUCGGGCCCGUGUGACCCCGGGUUCAAAUCCCGGCGGCCCCA
rnacentral:tRNA from 1 species